AUGGAAUGUCUGAGGAAAGCUGCAAAGAAUGAGCAAAGCCAGCCCAAGAGAGAGGCGAAAACGGCUAUGACCACCAGCAAUCCAUAGGGAUGGGACCACCCAAGCCCUCUGGAGUUCACAUCUCUUCACCACAACUUGCCUCAGGCCACCCUGCCUUGGAGCCAGCCGAUUACGGACUGAAACCUGUACAAACUGUGAGAAGUCCUGACUCAGUACCUGCUUCUGGGCCUGUUGGCCUUCUGGGCACAGCGGGUCUGAAAUGAACAAGCCAGACAACGUCCUGUCCUCAUGGUGCUCACAGCUUCUCUGGGGAGACCAAUGAAUGAAGCUUCAGGGUGUGACUGCUGACUGCUAGGAUGACACAAGAGGGGACAUCCUGUGACAUCCCAGAGGAGCUGUGACCAUCUGCCUGCUGGGGCACAGACUGUCCACCUAGCCUGCCCUUUCCUCCAGC
ensembl:lncRNA